CUAUUUUACUUAAUUAUUUUUUAUUAUGUAUGUUUCUUUCAUAUUCUAAAGUUUUAUUCUUGCUUUUUUAUUCACUUUUUCUUUAAAUUAUAUAUAAGUUUUGUUUAACUAAAUGUUCUA
rnacentral:rRNA from 1 species